rnacentral:rRNA from 1 species
AAUCGAACUUGGAGAUAGCUGGUUCUCCUCGAAAUAGCUUUAGGGCUAGCCUCAAUUUAGUUUACAGGGGGUAGAGCACUGAAUACCGUAGGGGUGUUAGACAUUACCGAAAGUUAUCAAACUGCGAAUACCUGAUAAAUGAUGAUUGGGAGUCAGACUAUGUGGGAUAAGCUUCAUAGUCGAAAGGGAAAGAGCCCAGACCACCAGCUAAGGUCCCUAAAUAUAGAUUAAGUGGGAAAGGAUGUUUUACUACUUAGACAACCAGGAUGUUGGCUUAGAAGCAGCCAUACAUUUAAAGAGUGCGUAAUAGCUCACUGGUCAAGUGGUAGAGCGCCGAAAAUGAACGGGGCUAAAAUCUAAUACCGAAGCUGUGGACUAAUUAAAUUAGUGGUAGAGGAGCAUUGUGUAAGGGACGAAGCUAAGUUGUAAGACGAAGUGGACUUUACAGAAGAGAGAAUGCUGGCAUGAGUAGCGAAAAGGAGGGUGAGAAUCCCUCCCGUCGAAAGCCUAAGGAUUCCUGAGGAAGGCUCGUCCUCUCAGGGUAAGUCGGGACCUAAGCCCAGGCUGAAAAGCGUAAGCGAUGGACAACAGGUUGAGAUUCCUGUACUAUCUUUGAAUGUUUGAGAGAAGUACUGACGCAGGAGGAUAUGUUGAGCGUGUGAAUGGUAGAGCACGUCUAAGCAAGUAGGUAGAGAGUAGAGGCAAAUCCCUAUUCUUAAUAUCGAGAUGCGAUGGGGAGCGAAAAAUAAGUAGUGAAGCAACAGAUUCCAAACUGCCAAGAAAAGGUACUAUUGAGUGAGAAGAUACCCGUACCAAAACCGACACAGGUAGGCAAGGAGAGAAUCCUAAGACGCGCGGAAGAACCUUUGUUAAGGAACUCGGCAAAAUGACCCCGUAACUUCGGGAGAAGGGGUACCAUUAGAUGUGAGAUACUUGCGUAUGGAGCAUAGAGUGGUCGCAGAGAAUAGGCCCAAGCAACUGUUUACCAAAAACACAAGUCUCUGCUAAAUCGAAAGAUGAAGUAUAGGGGCUGACACCUGCCCGGUGCUGGAAGGUUAAGGGGAAAUGUUAGAGCAAUCGAAGCAUAGAACUUAAGCCCCAGUAAACGGCGGCCGUAACUAUAACGGUCCUAAGGUAGCGAAAUUCCUUGUCGGGUAAGUUCCGACCCGCACGAAAGGUGUAAUGAUUUGGGCACUGUCUCAACAAAGGAUCCGGUGAAAUUGUAGUAGUCGUGAAGAUGCGACUUACCCACGAUAGGACGGAAAGACCCCGUGGAGCUUUACUGUAGGCUGGCAUUGGAAUUUGGUAUUAAAUGUACAGGAUAGGUGGGAGACUGUGAAGCGAGAGCGCCAGUUUUCGUGGAGUCGCUGUUGGGAUACCACUCUUUUGAUACUAAAUUUCUAACUUGAUACUCUGAAGCGAGUAUAAGGACACUGUCAGUUGGGCAGUUUGACUGGGGCGGUCGCCUCCUAAAGAGUAACGGAGGCGUUCAAAGGUUCCCUCAGCGCGGACAGAAAUCGCGCAAUAGAGUGUAAAGGCAGAAGGGAGCUUAACUGGGAGACUUACAAGUCGAGCAGAUACGAAAGUAGGACUUAGUGAUCCGGUGGAUUAUGAAUGGAAAUGCCAUCGCUCAACGGACAAAAGUUACCCUGGGGAUAACAGGCUUAUCUCCCCCAAGAGUUCACAUCGACGGGGAGGUUUGGCACCUCGAUGUCGGCUCAUCGCAUCCUGGGGCUGAAGUCGGUCCCAAGGGUUGGGCUGUUCGCCCAUUAAAGCGGUACGCGAGCUGGGUUCAGAACGUCGUGAGACAGUUCGGUCCUUAUCUGUCGCAGGCGCAGGAUAUUUGAGGAGAUCUGCCCCUAGUACGAGAGGACCAGGGUGGACGAACAGAUGGUGCAACAGUUGUUCUACCAAGAGCAUAGCUGUGUAGCCAAGUUCGGAAUGGAUAAACGCUGAGAGCAUCUAAGUGUGAAGCCAACUCCAAGAUAAGAUAUCCCAUACCGUUAAGGUAGU